UACGUAGGGUGCAAGCGUUGUCCGGAAUUAUUGGGCGUAAAGAGCUCGUAGGCGGUCUGUCGCGUCGGCUGUGAAAUCCCACGGCUCAACCUCGAGACGUCGAUGGAAACCGUCGGGCUAGAGUCCGGAAGAGGAGAGUGGAAUUCCUGGUGUAGCGGUGAAAUGCGCAGAUAUCAGGAGGAACACCCGUGGCGAAAGCGGCUCUCUGGGACGGUACUGACGCUGAGACGCGAAAGCGUGGGGAGCGAACAGG
rnacentral:rRNA from 1 species